rnacentral:other from 1 species
UACAAGCUGCGUUGUUCGUACUCAUAAUAAAGUUUUAACCUUUAAGCUGUAAAAGGGAGUUUAACCAUUGGAACUGGAAUGACAAGCCUCUGUCUAUAAGACUUGGAGGACAUGCAGGAAGGGUUUCUGAGAACACCCACUUUGAGGAGUGGUGGUUUAAAACUUUCUUAUAUUAAUACGGCAAAUGCGGCUACAUA